rnacentral:rRNA from 1 species
UACGUAGGGGGCAAGCGUUGUUCGGAUUUACUGGGCGUAAAGGGCGCGUAGGCGGCGUGACAAGUCACUUGUGAAAUCUCCGGGCUUAACUCGGAACUGCCAAGUGAUACUGUCGUGCUAGAGUGCAGAAAGGGCAAUCGGAAUUCUUGGUGUAGCGGUGAAAUGCGUAGAUAUCAAGAGGAACACCUGAGGCGAAGGCGGGUUGCUAGGCUGACACUGACGCUGAGGCGCGAAAGCUAGGGUAGCAAACGGGAUUAGAAACCCCAGUAGUCC